CCUACGGGAGGCAGCAGUGGGGGAUAUUGCACAAUGGGGGAAACCCUGAUGCAGCGACGCCGCGUGUGGGAAGACGGUCCUCUGGAUUGUAAACCACUGUCCCCAGGGACGAAGAUGACGGUACCUGGGGCGGAAGCUCCGGCUAACUACGUGCCAGCAGCCGCGGUAAUACGUAGGGAGCGAGCGUUGUCCGGAAGUACUGGGUGUAAAGGGAGCGUAGGCGGGACUGCAAGUUGGGUGUCAAAUCUACCGGCUCAACCGGUAGCCGCACUCAAAACUGCAGUUCUUGAGUGAAGUAGAGGCAGGCGGAAUUCCUAGUGUAGCGGUGAAAUGCGUAGAUAUUAGGAGGAACACCAGUGGCGAAGGCGGCCUGCUGGGCUUUUACUGACGCUGAGGCUCGAAAGUGUGGGGAGCAAACAGGAUUAGAUACCCCAGUAGUC
rnacentral:rRNA from 1 species